AACCUUUGCUGUCUUGGGACGGAUCACCGCUGCAAGAGGGGAAGUUGCUACUGUGAUGAAUUCUGCCAUGUGGCACCAGACUGCCACCCAGACCACAGUGUCCUCUGCAACCCUGGUAACUCACAUACAGGCCCGAUUCCACCUACAGCAAAGCUGGAUGCGAUGGCUGGCAGAGGCAAACCCUUUGCCUGCACUUCAGGCCAAAGCCGGGAUGUGGCCUAGAUGGUUCCUAAGCUUCUCAGAUGACCAAGAUGGUGCUGCAGAUGGUGCUGAGGAUGGAGAACCCACCAAGCCCCGCUAGGAGCCACCUAGACUGGAUGCAGAGCAUGUUUUAUUUGCUUCCAAGAAGGAAGGCAAGAUUUCCUGGGUCCGUGAUGAUGGAAGGCUGACAACUCUUUUAUGGAGUUUGAGCUUGCUCCCAGCAGGGAAGACAAGUUCGAGUUUUUUUCCUGCUUCAAGGAUGGUAGAGAGCAGUCUUCAGCCUGAGACCCAUCCCUAGGUGAAAAUGGAGGUUUCCUCCUCCUGCGGCUGAGUGUGGCUUCCCCGGAAGACCUCACUGACCCCAGAGUGGCAGAAAGGCUGAUGCAGCAGCUCCACCGGGAACUCCACGCCCACGCGCCUCACUUCCAGGUCUCCUUACUGCGUGUCAGGAGAGGCUAACGGACAUCAGCUGCAGCCAGGCAUGUCCCGUAUGCCAAAAGA
rnacentral:lncRNA from 10 species